CCUACGGGGGGCAGCAGUGAGGAAUAUUGGUCAAUGGACGAGAGUCUGAACCAGCCAAGCAGCGUGAAGGAUGACUGCCCUAUGGGUUGUAAACUUCUUUUAUAUGGGAAUAAAAUGUUCCACGUGUGGGAUUUUGUAUGUACCAUAUGAAUAAGGAUCGGCUAACUCCGUGCCAGCAGCCGCGGUAAUACGGAGGAUCCGAGCGUUAUCCGGAUUUAUUGGGUUUAAAGGGUGCGUAGGUGGAUUGUUAAGUCAGUUGUGAAAGUUUGCGGCUCAACCGUAAAAUUGCAGUUGAAACUGGCAGUCUUGAGAACAGUAGAGGUAGGCGGAAUGCGUGGUGUAGCGGUGAAAUGCUUAGAGAUCACGAAGAACUCCGAUUGCGAAGGCAGCUCACUGGACUGCAACUGACACUGAGGCUCGAAAGCGUGGGUAGCAAACAGGAUUAGAUACCCGAGUAGUC
rnacentral:rRNA from 1 species